AUGGGAUGAAAUUUGUUUUUAGAUGACGAGUCAGACGAGUUAUUCGAUGGUGACAAACUUUUUAUAUAUACCAUUCAUGCAAAACUGAAC
rfam:Absidia glauca strain CBS 101.48 genome assembly, contig: contig_1316